UACGUAGGGUGCGAGCGUUAAUCGGAAUUACUGGGCGUAAAGCGUGCGCAGGCGGUUCGUUAAGUCAGCUGUGAAAGCCCCGGGCUCAACCUGGGAACUGCGGUUGAAACUGGCGAACUAGAAUCUGGCAGAGGGGGGUGGAAUUCCACGUGUAGCAGUGAAAUGCGUAGAUAUCGUGAGGAACACCAGAGGCGAAGGCGGUUACCUGGACAGUUACUGACGCUCAGGCACGAAAGCAUGGGGAGCAAAAGGG
rnacentral:rRNA from 1 species